AAUCCGUGAUGCGAGCAUUUUUUAUUCAACAUUUUUAAAUGUUCCUAUGCCUCAUAGAAGCUUUCUCCCUCUAUCUGUCUAAAAACAACCAUCUCUCUCAGUUAGACU
rfam:Gossypium hirsutum cultivar TM-1 chromosome 18, whole genome shotgun sequence